rnacentral:rRNA from 1 species
AGAAUCAACGCUGGCGGCGUGCCUAACACAUGCAAGUCGAACGAGAAAGUGGAGCAAUCCAUGAGUACAGUGGCGUACGGGUGAGUAACACGUGACUAACCUACCCUCGAGUGGGGAAUAACCUCGGGAAACCGGGGCUAAUACCGCAUAAUAUCUUCGGAUCAAAUGCGUAAGCAGCUUGAGGAGGGGGUCGCGGCCGAUUAGCUAGUUGGCGGGGUAAUGGCCCACCAAGACUAUGAUCGGUA